rnacentral:lncRNA from 1 species
GUCUGAUUUAUCACCAUGUCCACUGGGAGUUGUUUUAGGAAUUUUGACUUAAUCUUUUGUUCCAUAAGGACUCCUUCACCACUGACCAGAUAGGUUUUGCUACCUGUAAGUUUAUUCAUCUUAGCUGCAUGCUUUGAGACCAGGGAGGCAAGCACAGCAAAGUCUGUAAACCCAGGUUUUAUUAUUCCCAAGCUGCCCUAAGUAACCACACAAACAGGACAACCAUGAUGACAUUUUCUUCAACUGAAGGCUUGUAUCCAGAGGCUCUCAAAAAACUAGGCUCAAAUCAGACCUGACUUUCCCGGACCCCAACCUGGUUGCCAGCAGAGGCACUAUUGUCAGCGGGGAACUCAGCUCAGCACCAAGGCUGUCAUCAAUAGACACUGGAUGUUAUAAAAGAGAUAAGACAGGACAAGGAAUCUUGCAGAUCCCUGGACAUCCGGAGACACCUACAGACACCCAAAGAUUUACUUGGAUGCUUCGAGGAUUCUGCCCACUGAGAUGCAAGACUGCCACAGAACUUUGACCGCACAUUUAUUAAAAUUUUCAUACCUAA